ensembl:lncRNA
GAAACUUUGUCUCAAAAACGUCUUGCUUCCAGUGAGUCGACUUCCACCUCGGGUCCGGGUGAUUAAUGACUUAUGGCCUUAUUGUGGUGGAGGUGGCUAAUUACCUACAGGCUGACGGAAGAAACCCUCCUCUGAUAACCCCAACUUUUUCGCCCUCCUUGCCCCGGCAUGUGGAAGCGCUUACUGACAAAUUUGCAAGGAGCAGACUAACGUUGAGGAAGAUGAAUGGGCUCCGAAAAACGACAGUGGACGCGAGUCGGGACGGCCCACCAAAAUUCCAUCACCACAACAGCGUCGGACAUUGUUCUGGCAAGAGCUGAAAACUCCCCGACCCCGGGGAGAGCGCCUCUCCGCUGGUUCGUCACGCUGUUUACUCACACGAGCGGCCCACCCAGAGGGCGGCGACACACCUCAGACCCCCACCCCC